UCAAUCACAGCUAGCAUUUAGCUUCAAUCGGCAAGGCCACCAAGGCCAAUUUAAAUGGCUCUCAAGUCUCCUUUAUCCCUAGGGUGGUAGAGGGAGGCAUUUGGUGGGAAAAUAAAAAACCCCUUUAUAUUCUCUAACCUCAGAGACCACCCACCCCAGCAGUGAGUGCUUUGUGACAAAGAAAGCCAUCGAAUUAACAAGGCAUGAAUUUGAUGAAAUAAAUGAUUCAUACAUAGCAAAAAACAGAUAUAGAUGAAGUCAUCUUGUAAACUCUUAGGAUGUCGGUAGUUUUUAGCAGAGACAACGUUGUGGCUUGCAGGCAUUAGUUAGUUAAAGCCACAACAGAAGAAGAGAAGUAACUUUUAUAAGAAAUUAAGUUUUAGGACCCUACCUGAAAUUCAGGCAGCAUUCUCAUGAUUAAAGUCAGAAAUAAGUAUUUCUCGGUCUAUUCCUUGGUGAAAUGUAACCCAAAAGUCAUAUUAUAUGUUUAGAAAUAUAGGUAAGUAAGUAAUUAGUUCCAGCAUUUUGUAGCACAGAAGAGUGGCUGUAGCUAUGGCAGUGUGUAUUUCAAAGUAUGCAGAAGAGCCCAAAGGUUACAAACACAUAACACAUGAAAAAUAAACAUUCAAGUGUUAUUGUGGCAAUAAAAGUCCAUUAAGGAAAACUUUUUCUGGUCAGGAGACUUUAAUCUCUGGCCUUGGUGGAGACCUAACAUUCCAUCCAGGGUCAUACCCAUCACUUGGCCAAGGAACCACCGAGGAGCAGAUUCACCUUCAGCCACGCUAAAAAGAGAGGUAAAAUAACUAGCCCUUUAAUGAGAUAGCAUAGUUUUCCUUCCCAUAUUCCCAACCUCUAGUGCAAUGGCUCAGGGGACAUAGGCAUGCAGUUUUACAAGUCUGCCUGCUUCUCAGAAAAGGACCCCCAUCACACCCCAAGUGUAAGAUCCAUAAAAGCAGGGUGACACCGCAGUUCGUGUCCCUCAGGGCCCCUCCCCCUUGUGGAAGUUCAUUUCUCAUAGUUUGUUCAGGAAUCUACUCACUACUACUCUUUCCCAUGCGCUUUGGAAGCCACGGGUGAGACUGGUGACUCUCAUCCAGCACUUUAUACCCCCAAAUCAAGCUCACCACAUGAGGAGAAAGGCUUUGCCACCCUCACAAACUCCUAUCAGAGGGAUGAGCCCAGUCCCUGUGUUUCUUUGUGCCCCUCUGCAAAGAUAAUGCCAAACAUAGCAUAGGUUGUUGACUGAGGCAUGAAAGCCACUCUGUCUCAACUGGGAAAAAUCCAAUUUAGAGUAGGAACACAUCCACAGGCACACACACACACACACACACACACACAAACACACAGGCACAGGGAGAGAGAGAGAGAGAGAGAGAGAGAGAGAGAGAGAGAGAGAGGGAGGGAGAGGGAGAGAGAGGCACAAACUCACACAGGCACAUGGACACACAAAUACACACAGACACACUCAGACACAUAUACACAAAGAUAUACUCACACAGACAUAUAUACACAGGCACAUGCACAGAUACACAUGGACACACUCAGACACACACACACACACAGAUACACACAGACACAUAAGACACAUACACACACACACACACACAGGCACACACACAUCUAGACACACAGGCACACACACACACCACUGUAGCCCUUACUCAAGAGCAGCUAGAUGAAGUGAGCACAGCAUACUUUCUUUUUCAGAUUCCCAGACAGAAUUCUUUGCUAUCUCUGGUCUGAACCCUUCAAAACCAGGAAAACUAUCCACUUCCACUGAGAACUCUUGGGCAUUUGAAGCAGAGGGGAGGGCCCACUUUUCCAGCCAUCUUUAUCCAGGGACAGCAGAAGCAGGCAGGGAAGGGAACCAUAACCUCACCAGAAUUUCAGCACUCACUGCCUUGCAUUGGAGAGAACUUGCAGGCUAGGAACUGCUGGUGGCUCAUUACCAUGACAAAGGUUGUUACAACUGGACAGGAAGCUGAACAAAAGACACCCAGCACUCUAUUUGCAAGUCCUGGGAUUGUGUUUGUAAUCUCUUUCUGCAGGAGAAAGAGACGACCAGUAAAAGGCUAAAACACAAUAGGAAGCUGGAAUCCACAAGGCUGAGACACCGAGGACACACAUACAUACACACACACACACACACA
rnacentral:lncRNA from 1 species